rnacentral:rRNA from 1 species
UACGAACUGUGCAAACGUUAUUCGGAUUCACUGGGCUUAAAGGGUGCGUAGGCGGCCAUGUAAGUAGGGUGUGAAAUCCCCCGGCUUAAUCGGGGAACUGCGCCCUAAACUGUGUGGCUUGAGUGAGAUAGGGGUGUGUGGAACUUCCGGUGGAGCGGUGAAAUGUGUUGAUAUCGGAAGGAACGCCGGUGGCGAAAGCGACACACUGGGUCUCAACUGACGCUGAGGCACGAAAGCCAGGGGAGCGAACGGG